AAAAAAAAAAAAAAAAAAAAAAAAAAAAAAAAAAAAAAAGGCCACCGUGGAGUUUUAGUCGGUAAGAGUCCGACACUACCCGCCUAGCGGGUGUCCAUGAGGAUUUCUCCACGAAAAAAAAAAAAAAAAAAAAAAAAAAAAGG